CCUCCCUGAGACAGGAUUUCUCUGUGUAGCCCUGGGUGCCCUGGAACUCACUCUGUAAACCAGGACAGCCAGAGCUACACAGAGAAACCCUGUCUCGAAAAAACAAAAACAAAAACUAAAAACUAAAAAACAGACUGGAAAAAAUAAAACAAUAGGCUCAGACACUGAAUCAGUAUUUAAAACACAGUAAGUGCUUCAAAAAGCUAUCUAAGCACAGUUUGGUAGUCCCAGACAUUAUUGUUCAAGAGCAUGGGAGGCAGAGGCUAUUUUAAACUGCUUUACAGUUGAAAAACCACCUUGCUUAGACAGAUUUUGUCUUAAAAGAAAAUCUUUUCAAACAGCUACAUCACUUUACAUCUUAGCUGACAAAACAGAAGUUUUUGUCUGGACCUAGAUGUUCAAUUUCCUAAGAGCUUCAAAGUUAAUUUUCAACCUAGAGUUAUAUUUUUAGCACAUUCUGAGGACAAUGAGAUGGUUAAGUAGAUUAAAAACACUUGUGAGACAAGCCUGGAGACCCAAGUUCAUGCCCAGACCCUUCACACAGGCACCACACCCACAUCAUAUGUACAUAAGCUCUUAAAUAAAACAAGUUGAAAUGUAUAUAACCAAACUUAACCCUUAAAUAUUUAUACCUUUCUUUCCUUAACUACAAAAAGAUGAAAAUUCUUUCCUUAGGAAGCAUCUACUAUAAUUUUAAUAUUUUACAAAUUUUAAAUAAAUACUUCAGUGAAUAAGACUACUUAAAAAGAACUGGGCAUGGUGCUGCAUGCCUUUAAUCCCAGUAUUGGGAGGCAGAGAGGCAGGUGGAUCUCUGUGGGUUCAAGACCAACCUGGUCAACAAAGCCCCUCCAGGAGAGCCAGGGCUCAGUUCAGUUCCCAGGCCACCAUGAAUGACAUAUACAGCUGUCUGUAAUACACUUACAGGUUUCAACAUUCUGUGACCUCCACAGACAUCAACCAUGCACAUGGCACACCAUACUCAGAGCCAAAAGGUAGAUAUAUAAAAUUUAAAAAAAAAAACUUAAAAAAAAAUUUCUAAGGUUACAUUUAAAGGCACAUGCACAUUUAAAAUUAGCCAAGAUUCAUCGGCAAAAAAAAUGACCUAUAUACUAGCAAAAUAAACACAAAAUAAGACACAAGUAUAACUUCACAAAUUUGAAAUACACAACAUAAGCUGGUUAGCUCGUAGUUGAAC
rnacentral:lncRNA from 1 species